UACAGAGGGUGCAAGCGUUGUUCGGAAUUAUUGGGCGUAAAGUGCGUGUAGGCGGCUUUGCAAGUCGGGUGUGAAAGCCCUCAGCUCAACUGAGGAAGUGCGCCCGAAACUGCAGAGCUUGAGUACCGGAGAGGAUGGCGGAAUUCCCCAAGUAGAGGUGAAAUUCGUAGAUAUGGGGAGGAACACCGGUGGCGAAGGCGGCCAUCUGGACGGAUACUGACGCUGAGACGCGAAAGCGUGGGUAGCAAACAGG
rnacentral:rRNA from 1 species